rnacentral:rRNA from 1 species
UCCGUAGGUGAACCUGCGGAAGGAUCAUUAACGUGGGGCUUCGGCCCCGCCGAGAUAGAACCCUUGCCUUUUGUAUACCGUCCGUUUCCUCGGCAGGCUCGCCUGUCAAUGGGGACCAUAAUAAACCUUUGUAAUAACCUGUAACUAGUCUGAUCAAAAAAUUAAAUUUAAAACUUUUAACAACGGAUCUCUUGGUUCUGGCAUCGAUGAAGAACGCAGCGAAAUGCGAUAAGUAGUGUGAAUUGCAGAAUUCAGUGAAUCAUCGAAUCUUUGAACGCACAUUGCGCCUCUCGGUAUUCCGGGAGGCACGCCUGUUCGAGCGCCAUUACACACCCCAAGCUCGGCUUGAUGUUGGACGCUGUCUGUGAAAGGACAGGUCUGGAACGCGUGGGCGCCGCCGCCGGACCACGAGCGUAGCAAGACGCAAGUCAAAUCGCUCUGUGGGCUUACUCGGUGGACGGCCGUCUAGAUGCUGGGGUAACACCUGCGUCGAAAACACCUAACCAAAGUUUGGCCUCGGGAUCAGGGCGGGGGAUACCCGGCUGGAACUUAAGGCAUAUCAAAAGGCGGGGAGGGAAGGUCGACUGGCCAAGGGGGCACAC